rnacentral:rRNA from 1 species
UACGUAGGGUGCGAGCGUUAAUCGGAAUUACUGGGCGCAAAGCGUGCGCAGGCGGUUUUGUAAGCCAGAUGUGAAAUCCCCGGGCUUAACCUGGGAAUGGCAUUUGGGACUGCAAGGCUUGAGUGCGGCAGAGGAGACUGGAAUUCCUGGUGUAGCGGUGAAAUGCGCAGAUAUCAGGAGGAACACCAAUUGCGAAGGCAGCUCGCUGGGACGUAACUGACGCUGAGACGCGAAAGCGUGGGGAGCAAACAGG